rnacentral:rRNA from 1 species
UACCUCUUAGCAGGGAUAACAUUGGAAACAAAUGCUAAUACCGUAUAAUAAUUAAACCGCAUGGUUUAGUUUAAAGAUGGUCUUGCUAUCACUAAGAGAUGGUCCCGCGGUGUAUUAGUUAGUUGGUGAGGUAAUGGCUCACCAAGACAAUGAUACAUAGCCGAGUUGAGAGACUGACCGGCCACAAUGGGACUGAGACACGGCCCAUACUCCUACGGGAGGCAGCAGUAGGGAAUCUUCCACAAUGGACGAAAGUCUGAUGGAGCAACGCCGCGUGUGUGAUGAAGGGUUUCGGCUCGUAAAACACUGUUGUAAGAGAAGAAUGACAUUGAGAGUAACUGUUCAAUGUGUGACGGUAUCUUACCAGAAAGGAACGGCUAAAUACGUG